AGUGAACGCUGGCGGUAGGCCUAACACAUGCAAGUCGAACGGCAGCACAGUAAGAGCUUGCUCUUACGGGUGGCGAGUGGCGGACGGGUGAGGAAUACAUCGGAAUCUACUUUUUCGUGGGGGAUAACGUAGGGAAACUUACGCUAAUACCGCAUACGACCUACGGGUGAAAGCAGGGGAUCUUCGGACCUUGCGCGAUUGAAUGAGCCGAUGUCGGAUUAGCUAGUUGGCGGGGUAAAGGCCCACCAAGGCGACGAUCCGUAGCUGUCUGAGAGGAUGAUCAGCCACACUGGAACUGAGACACGGUCCAGACUCCUACGGGAGGCAGCAGUGGGGAAUAUUGGACAAUGGGCGAAAGCCUGAUCCAGCCAUACCGCGUGAGUGAAGAAGGCCUUCGGGUUGUAAAGCCCUUUUGUUGGGAAAGAAAAGCAGCAGGUUAAUACCCCGCUGUUCUGACGGUACCCAAAGAAUAAGCGCCGGCUAACUUCGUG
rnacentral:rRNA from 1 species